AUUGAACGCUGGCGGCAGGCCUAACACAUGCAAGUCGAGCGGAUGAAGAGAGCUUGCUCUCUGAUUUAGCGGCGCACGGGUGAGUAAUGCCUAGGAAUCUGCCUGGUAGUGGGGGAUAACGUCCGGAAACGGGCGCUAAUACCGCAUACGUCCUACGGGAGAAAGCAGGGGACCUUCGGGCCUUGCGCUAUCAGAUGAGCCUAGGUCGGAUUAGCUAGUUGGUGAGGUAAUGGCUCACCAAGGCUACGAUCCGUAACUGGUCUGAGAGGAUGAUCAGUCACACUGGAACUGAGACACGGUCCAGAAUCCUACGGGAGGCAGCAGUGGGGAAUAUUGGACAAUGGGCGAAAGCCUGAUCCAGCCAUGCCGCGUGUGUGAAGAAGGUCUUCGGAUUGUAAAGCACUUUAAGUCGGGAGGAAGGGCAGUAAGUUAAUACCUUGCUGUUUUGACGUUACCGACAGAAUAAGCACCGGCUAACUUCGUGCCAGCCGCCGCGGUAAUAC
rnacentral:rRNA from 1 species